GCGGGCUGACGCGUACAGGAAACACAAGAAAAAGCCCGCACCUAAACAGUGCGGGCUUUUUUUUU
rfam:Escherichia coli ISC11, WGS project CBWP01000000 data, contig: c58